ACGGAAGAAACAGCGUGCACGUGGCACCCGCGGCCAGAGCAGCGCGCGGCGGGGCCGGGAGACCAUGGCGUCGCUCAGUGGUGGCACCGUCGUCUGUGUGAUCUGCUUGGAAAAGCCCAAAUACCGCUGCCCCGCCUGCCGCGUGCCCUACUGCUCGGUGACCUGCUUCCGGAAGCACAGAGAGCAGUGCAAUACCGAAACUCGUCUUGUUGAGGAAAAAAUACCAGCUUUUACUGCAAGAACAAUAAAGCCCGAGGAAAACAAAGAUGAUGAUGACGACUCUGUAGCUGAUUUUCUCAAUAGUGACGAGGAACAGGACAGAGUUUCUUUGCAGAAUUUAAAGAAUUUAGGACUGUCAACUCGGUGUGAACCCGGACCAUGUCUUCUUGACUCAUCAAUGCUCUCCGUAAACAGCACCAAUCCUGGGAAGUGCUUGGUAAACAUUUGAGACUGAGGAGUGACCCAAACACGUCACGUCAGCACUACCAGACCCACCUUGAACCUGGACACCACGGUCAACACAGGGGUUCUGCUCUUGCCAGAAGGCUCCUCCUGGGACUUCUCUUCUGGAACUAUGUGCUCCACGCCCCUCCCACCCCGACACCGUGUCCAGGUUCAGUGGCACAGAGGAGCGGUCCACUUCUUGGAGACUGCAAGGCGGGGCCCAAAGUCUCAGAUUCUCAGGAAGACGCAGGUUCAGAGGAGGCUUCCAGUGACCUCUGUCAAAUGGAGCUACGUGACUCACCAGGAGCUUCUGGCCCAAGGCACUGCCCUUGCCAUCAUGGACAACACAGAGGAUGCAAGUGGGCUACUUCAAUAAACCCUUUCCCAUAAGUAAUCCCAGCUACCUUCAGUGUCUAUGUGCACUGGUUCAUUUAACUCUCACAGAAGUCCCAUGAGUUGGGUGUUGGUCCUCCUUUCCUUGCCAUUUUAUAGGUGAAAGAACAGGUUUACAGAAUUGAAAUAUCUUUCUGAUGUGCUCUGAACCACUGUGCUGGAAUCCCCAAUAGCUAUCUUUUGUUUCCAUCGGUGUCAGAGAUGGGAGAGACCUAUGAUGAGGAAAUGAAGGCCUAGGUCCUAGGCCCUAGGAGGAAAGUAUCUCACCUAGAGUUACAUCAGAGCUGGUGGAAGAGCCUGGACUAGAAUCCUGACUUCCUUUCCUGCCCACCGCUACACACUGACUCCCUGGUAAAGCCAGCCUGUCCGGGAAUGACGAGGCAGCAAACGGCUCCACGAGGAACGUCCCCCUCCCUCUCUGCCCACCCAGCCCGUCAUGAAGUCGACAGGAUGGGAAAGAGGCCCUCCUACCUUUCCAGCACCACUCUCUCCACUGACAACGAUGGACUGGUUGACUGGCUGAAUCAGGCUCUUGACAUUCCUGUAGGUCUGUUCACCCACAGUGAAGAUGUGGGGCUUCAGUUUCUGAAACAUCAAGGAGCGAAAGGUCAUGUGAGGGAAUGCGCGUCUUCAAGGAAUGCUGAUCUAAUGAUGGCUGAGAUGGGGAGCCUGCCAACAGCAGUGCCAAGAGGCUUCCUCUAGAAAAAUGUCCUGGAUGUAACAGUGUUAGGCCCAACUGUGGGACCCCCCUGGUGGCUUUACCCACUCAUCUUCUCUCAGUCUGGAAGCAGAGCUAGCCUUGAAUACUUUAUCCCAUUUUAUCUUAAAAGUCUUAUUCUGUUCUGUAUUAUUUUGUUACUGUACUUUGCAGUUUGCAAAGAAUUUUCUUUCAAGUUACUGCUAAGAAGUCUGUGUUAGAUGGAUAGCUAGUCCUCUUUUAUAGAUGAGAAAUCUGAGGUUCAGAGGGGUUAAAUAACCUUCCCAAGGCCACUCAGCAAGUAAGUGAAACCAUCUGAUUUGCAUCCCAAGGCCACUGUUCUCCUUUCCAUCACCAAACAUUAAUUGUCCUCAAUGUGCCAGGUAUGAAGGUGGGCACUGGGAAAGCAGAGGGCACCAUGACAUGGCUUUUGCCCUUAGGAGGCAGAUGGUCAGUGAGAUACGGGCUCUCAGGACAGACCUCACAUGAUUCCACCCCACAAUGAUUGCUUACCCACAGCUUCCUGAAGAAGGCACAGUUCUGGAUGGUGUCAGAGCUGUCCCUCUCUCCAUCAGCUUCUGCCCCAGUCACUUCUCACCUGGACUAUUACAAAGUCUUCAACUGUUCUCCCUGCCACUUGUCUCACCUUCCUCAACGCAACUCCCCCAGCUUCCAGGGUAAUUCUCCCCCCAGUGGGCACCAUUCAGUCCACCUCCACUCCUGGAAGCAGCUCUGUGGACUCUGCCUGCUGUGAUGACUCAGAACCUUCCUAUUUAUCUCAGCCUCUUCCUACCUCAUCUACUGCCUCUCUCCCCAAGAGCCCCUUCCUGCCAGCAAGUCUGCUCUUGCCUUUCCCUGAACACAUGAUGCACUUUGACACCAGCUAGUCUACUCCCUGCCUGCACUUCCCCCGCCCCCAUAAGAAUGUAUUCCUCUCAGUAGAGAUGAACAUGCACUGAAUUUUCUAGGGUAAUCCUUAGCGCAUUAAUUUUAUCUUUUUCCCAAACAGUGGUUUGUUAAAUACACAAACAUAUCUUUGUAAAUCCUUUCCUAUUAAUAAACUCAUAA